rnacentral:rRNA from 1 species
AGUGGAAAGCUCAUCAAGUGACGGUAACUACCCAGAAAGGGACGGCUAACUACGUGCCAGCAGCCGCGGUAAUACGUAGGUCCCGAGCGUUGUCCGGAUUUAUUGGGCGUAAAGCGAGCGCAGGUGGUUUAUUAAGUCUGGUGUAAAAGGCAGUGGCUCAACCAUUGUAUGCAUUGGAAACUGGUAGACUUGAGUGCAGGAGAGGAGAGUGGAAUUCCAUGUGUAGCGGUGAAAUGCGUAGAUAUAUGGAGGAACACCGGUGGCGAAAGCGGCUCUCUGGCCUGUAACUGACACUGAGGCUCGAAAGCGUGGGGAGCAAACAGGAUUAGAUACCCUGGUAGUCCACGCCGUAAACGAUGAGUGCUAGAUGUAGGGAGCUAUAAGUUCUCUGUAUCGCAGCUAACGCAAUAAGCACUCCGCCUGGGGAGUACGACCGCAAGGUUGAAACUCAAAGGAAUUGACGGA